rnacentral:rRNA from 1 species
GACGAACGCUGGCGGCGUGCUUAACACAUGCAAGUCGAGCGGUAAGGCCCUUUCGGGGGGUACACGAGCGGCGAACGGGUGAGUAACACGUGGGUGACCUGCCCUCAGCUCUGGGAUAAGCCUGGGAAACCGGGUCUAAUACCGGAUAUGACUCCAUGACGCAUGUUGUGGGGUGGAAAGCCUUGUGCGGCUGAGGAUGGGCCCGCGGCCUAUCAGCUUGUUGGUGGGGUGAUGGCCUACCAAGGCGACGACGGGUAGCCGGCCUGAGAGGGCGACCGGCCACACUGGGACUGAGACACGGCCCAGACUCCUACGGGAGGCAGCAGUGGGGAAUCUUGCGCAAUGGGCGAAAGCCUGACGCAGCGACGCCGCGUGAGGGAUGACGGCCUGGUGUAAC